GACGAACGCUGGCGGCGUGCUUAACACAUGCAAGUCGAACGGAAAGGCCCCCUUGUGGGGUACUCGAGUGGCGAACGGGUGAGUAACACGUGAGUAACCUACCCUUGACUUUGGGAUAACUUCAGGAAACGGGGGCUAAUACCGGAUAGGAGCUCCUGCUGCAGGGGGGGGGUGGGAAAGUUUCGGCGGUUGGGGUUGGACUCGCGGCUUAUCAGCUGGUUGGUGGGUUAGUGGCUCACCAAGGCUUUGACGGGUAGCCGGCCUGAGGGGGGGACGGGCCACAUGGGGGCUGAGAUACGGCCCAGACUCCUACGGGAGGCAGCAGGGGGGAAUAUUGCAAAAGGGGCGGAAGCCUGAUGCAGCAACGCCGCGUGCGGGAUGACGGCCUUCGGGUUGUAAACCGCUUUCGCGUGUGACGAAGCGUGAGUGACGGUAAUGGGUAAGGAAGCACCGGCUAACUACGU
rnacentral:rRNA from 1 species